GAACAAGGGCAUUCUGUGCUAUUCUAAAGAGUUUCAACUCUCUUCUGAAGGAGAUGGAAAACGGUUGAGGUCGUUUGAAGCAGGCAGUGACGUGAAGUAGGGAUUGUGUAGGUAAGGAGGAAUGGGUCCAGGCUGAUGACUAAAUUUCUCUCUUGAGUUUCUGUGUAGGUGAUGGCGAUGUAACCCACCGGGAGAAGUACCACAGAAGAAAAAGCUGGCUGGGAGAAGAAGGUCCCUGUCCCACCUGCGAUGGAGGUGGAAAAGGAGCUGCUCUCUUCAGGACUAGAUGCUAAUUCUAUCCUGAUUGGCUGGAUUAGAUGGAUAUCGAGACUGAGCUCGACCUCUGUGUGUGUUUUCUGAUAGAAGUCCUAGAAAACAGAAGAGGCGAGAACAGGAAAUGAAUUCAACCACAAGAAUGAGCUUGGAAGAGGACCCCAGAGGAGACCCACAGCCCCAAUCAACGCUCUGAUUUCAGCCCAGUGAGACCCUGAGCAGAGCGUCCAGCCUACCAGGCCCAGACUUCUGACCUGCAGAAACUGUGAGGUAAUAAAUCUGUG